CGGGUGAGUAACACGUGGGUAACCUGCCUGUAAGACUGGGAUAACUCCGGGAAACCGGGGCUAAUACCGGAUGGUUGUUUGAACCGCAUGGUUCAAACAUAAAAGGUGGCUCGGCUACCACUUACAGAUGGACCCGCGGCGCAUUAGCUAGUUGGUGAGGUAACGGCUCACCAAGGCAACGAUGCGUAGCCGACCUGAGAGGGUGAUCGGCCACACUGGGACUGAGACACGGCCCAGACUCCUACGGGAGGCAGCAGUAGGGAAUCUUCCGCAAUGGACGAAAGUCUGACGGAGCAACGCCGCGUGAGUGAUGAAGGUUUUCGGAUCGUAAAGCUCUGUUGUUAGGGAAGAACAAGUACCGUUCGAAUAGGGCGGUACCUUGACGGUACCUAACCAGAAAGCCACGGCUAACUACGUGCCAGCAGCCGCGGUAAUACGUAGGUGGCAAGCGUUGUCCGGAAUUAUUGGGCGUAAAGGGCUCGCAGGCGGUUUCUUAAGUCUGAUGUGAAAGCCCCCGGCUCAACCGGGGAGGGUCAUUGGAAACUGGGGAACUUGAGUGCAGAAGAGGAGAGUGGAAUUCCACGUGUAGCGGUGAAAUGCGUAGAGAUGUGGAGGAACACCAGUGGCGAAGGCGACUCUCUGGUCUGUAACUGACGCUGAG
rnacentral:rRNA from 1 species